CGGGAAGGCCAGGCGGCGACGCCGAGCGGAACCCGAAAAAGGACGGCCUCAGUUCGGAUUGGAGUCUGCAACCCGACUCCAUGAAGCUGGAUUCGCUAGUAAUCGCGCAUCAGCCACGGCGCGGUGAAUACGUUCCCGGGCCUUGUACACACCGCCCGUCAAGCCAUGGGAGCCGGGAGUGCCUGAAGUGCGCGGCCGCGAGGAGCGCCCUAGGGCAAGACUGGUGACUGGGGCUAAGUCGUAACAAGGUAAC
rnacentral:rRNA from 1 species